rnacentral:rRNA from 1 species
GUAGCUGGCCGCAAGGCAUGUGCACGCUCUCUACUCAAUCCAACCUUACACCUGUGCACCUAUUGUAGGUCGAGUGGCUGGACUUGUUCUGGUCGCUCUUCCUAUGUUUUAUACAUACACUUGUAGUCUCAGAAUGUAAUCAGCGUAUAACGCAUUAUAAAACAACUUUCAACAACGGAUCUCUUGGCUCUCGCAUCGAUGAAGAACGCAGCGAAAUGCGAUAAGUAAUGUGAAUUGCAGAAUUCAGUGAAUCAUCGAAUCUUUGAACGCACCUUGCGCUCCUUGGUAUUCCGAGGAGCAUGCCUGUUUGAGUGUCAUGAAUAUCUCAACUCACCCGGUUUUUAUUAACUGUGGUGGGCUUGGACUUGGAGGUAUGCUGGCUGACUAGUCGGCUCCUCUCUAAAUGCAUUAGCUGGACCUGUUAUGGAUCAGUACUCGGUGUGAUAAUUGUCUACGCCGUGUCUGUGAAGUGCUUGAAUGGACUAGCUUCUAACCGUCUUCGGACAACUAUUGACAUUUUGACCUCAAAUCAGGUAGGAUUACCCGCUGAACUUAAGCAUAUCAA